UACGAAGGGUGCAAGCGUUAAUCGGAAUUACUGGGCGUAAAGCGUGCGCAGGCGGUUUUGUAAGUCUGUCGUGAAAUCCCCGGGCCUAACCUGGGAAUGGCGAUGGAGACUGCAAGGCUGGAGUUUGGCAGAGGGGGGUAGAAUUCCACGUGUAGCAGUGAAAUGCGUAGAGAUGUGGAGGAACACCGAUGGCGAAGGCAGCCCCCUGGGUCAAGACUGACGCUCAUGCACGAAAGCGUGGGGAGCAAACAGG
rnacentral:rRNA from 1 species